rnacentral:lncRNA from 1 species
UAUAUUCCCUGCAGCUUUGCGGACUGCUGCUACAAGAUUAGAUGCAUAAACAGACAUGUAAUCUACUCUUUUAACAUCAAGAGAAUCAGCUAUUUCCGCCCCCUUAGAAUCAUCAUUUGCAAUAGUUUUGUAUAUAUCAGCAGCUCGCUCCAAGAUAUCUUUGAUGUCAGAUUUCCCAAGUCCUCCCACACUUGUAAAGAACUUGAACCCAUUCCUGUUGUAGGGAAGAUGGCUUGCUGUUGGCAA